CCUACGGGUGGCUGCAGUGGGGAAUAUUGGACAAUGGGCGAAAGCCUGAUCCAGCCAUGCCGCGUGUGUGAAGAAGGCCUUCGGGUUGUAAAGCACUUUCAGUGGGGAAGAAAGCCUUGGGGCUAAUACCCUCGAGGAAGGACAUCACCCACAGAAGAAGCACCGGCUAACUCCGUGCCAGCAGCCGCGGUAAUACGGAGGGUGCGAGCGUUAAUCGGAAUUACUGGGCGUAAAGCGCGCGUAGGCGGUCUGAUAAGCCGGUUGUGAAAGCCCCGGGCUCAACCUGGGAACGGCAUCCGGAACUGUCAGGCUAGAGUGCAGGAGAGGAAGGUAGAAUUCCCGGAGUAGCGGUGAAAUGCGUAGAGAUCGGGAGGAAUACCAGUGGCGAAGGCGGCCUUCUGGACUGACACUGACGCUGAGGUGCGAAAGCGUGGGUAGCAAACAGGAUUAGAUACCCGAGUAGUC
rnacentral:rRNA from 1 species